rnacentral:rRNA from 1 species
CGCAUCUGUGCAUGCAGCAUAUCAAUAAGCGGAGGAAAAGAAACUAACAAGGAUUCCCUUAGUAACGGCGAGUGAAGCGGGAAGAGCUCAAAUUUGAAAUCUUCAAGGUUUUACCUUGACGAAUUGUAGUUUAAAGAAGUGUUUUCUGUUGAAGUUUUGGUAAAAGUUCUUUGGAAUAGGACAUCAUAGAGGGUGAGAAUCCCGUAUUUGACCAUUAUUUUCAGCUGUGUGAUACACUUUCAAAGAGUCGGAUUGUUUGGGAAUGCAGUCCAAAAUGGGUGGUAAAUUUCAUCUAAAGCUAAAUAUUGGCGAGAGACCGAUAGCGAACAAGUACCGUGAGGGAAAGAUGAAAAGAACUUUGAAAAGAGAGUUAAACAGUACGUGAAAUUGUCAAAAGGGAAGCGUUUGACACCAGUGUUGUUUUCUCGAAAAUCAAUUAAAAAGAGUUAGAUUUUGUUGUGUAUUGACCUUAACAGCUUGCAUUUCAAUUUUCUUGCUUUUUUUAAUGCACUUUUCGUUUAACAAGUCAACAUCAGUUUCUUUUGUUGUAAAAAGGUCAUUGGAAGGUGGCUUUCUUUUCGGAGAAAGUGUUUAUAGCCUUUGACUCCUGCAAUCGGAGAGACUGAGGUCUGCAGCGUAGAUCCUUCGGGGUUAGAUACAUUUGUGCUAAGUUAUAGCUUUUUAUAGACAACUUGUUGACUAUGGUUAGUCUUGUAGCUUACUCGCUUAUGCUAUUUUACCUACGCUUAGGAUGUUGAAGACUCUACAGAGAU